CAGUAGCCACGGUAAUACGGAGGGGGCUAGCGUUGUUCGGAAUUACUGGGCGUAAAGCGCGCGUAGGCGGCUUGAUAAGUUAGAGGUGAAAGCCUGGGGCUCAACCCCAGAAUUGCCUUUAAGACUGCCGAGCUAGUAGGUGAGAGAGGUAAGUGGAAUUCCGAGUGUUGAGGUGAAAUUCGUAGAUAUUCGGAAGAACACCAGUGGCGAAGGCGGCUUACUGGCUCAUUCUAGACGCUGAGGUGCGAAAGCGUGUGGAGCAAACAGGAUUAGAUACCCCCGUAGUCCCUGUCUCUUAUAC
rnacentral:rRNA from 1 species